rnacentral:rRNA from 1 species
GACGAACGCUGGCGGCGUGCUUAACACAUGCAAGUCGAACGAUGAAGCCGGAGCUUGCUCUGGUGAAUUAGUGGCGAACGGGUGAGUAACACGUGAGUAACCUGCCCUUGACUCUGGGAUAACUGCGGGAAACUGUAGCUAAUACCGGAUACGACCCUCGGAGGCAUCUCCUGGGGGUGGAAAGAAUUUCGGUCAAGGAUGGACUCGCGGCCUAGCAGCUAGUUGGUGAGGUAAAGGCGCACCAAGGCGACGACGGGUAGCCGGCCUGAGAGGGUGACCGGCCACACUGGGACUGAGACACGGCCCAGACUCCUACGGGAGGCAGCAGUGGGGAAUAUUGCACAAUGGGCGCAAGCCUGAUGCAGCAACGCCGCGUGAGGGAUGACGGCCUUCGGGUUGUAAACCUCUUUUAGUAGGGAAGAAGCGAAAGUGACGGUACCUGCAGAAAAAGCACCGGCUAACUACGUGCCAGCCGCCGCCGUAA